UACGUAGGGCGCAAGCGUUGUCCGGAAUUAUUGGGCGUAAAGAGCUCGUAGGCGGUUUGUCGCGUCUGCCGUGAAAACCCGAGGCUUAACCUCGUGGCUUGCGGUGGAUACGGGCAGACUAGAGGUAGGUAGGGGAGAAUGGAAUUCCCGGUGUAGCGGUGAAAUGCGCAGAUAUCGGGAGGAACACCGGUGGCGAAGGCGGUUCUCUGGGCCUUACCUGACGCUGAGGAGCGAAAGCCAGGGGAGCGAACGGG
rnacentral:rRNA from 1 species